rnacentral:rRNA from 1 species
AUUGAACGCUGGCGGCAGGCCUAACACAUGCAAGUCGAGCGGAUGAAGGUAGCUUGCUAUCUGAUUCAGCGGCGGACGGGUGAGUAAUGCCUAGGAAUCUGCCUGGUAGUGGGGGACAACGUUUCGAAAGGAACGCUAAUACCGCAUACGUCCUACGGGAGAAAGUGGGGGAUCUUCGGACCUCACGCUAUCAGAUGAGCCUAGGUACGAUUAGCUAGUUGGUGAGGUAAAGGCUCACCAAGGCGACGAUCGUUAACUGGUCUGAGAGGAUGAUCAGUCACACUGGAACUGAGACACGGUCCAGACUCCUACGGGAGGCAGCAGUGGGGAAUAUUGGACAAUGGGCGAAAGCCUGAUCCAGCCAUGCCGCGUGUGUGAAGAAGGUCUUCGGAUUGUAAAGCACUUUAAGUUGGGAGGAAGGGCAGUAAGUUAAUACCUUGCUGUUUUGACGUUACCAACAGAAUAAGCACCGGCUAACUUCGUGCCAGCCGCCGCGGUAAAAC